rnacentral:rRNA from 1 species
UACGUAGGGUGCGAGCGUUAAUCGGAAUUACUGGGCGUAAAGCGUGCGCAGGCGGCUUUGCAAGACAGAUGUGAAAUCCCCGGGCUUAACCUGGGAACUGCAUUUGUGACUGCAAGGCUAGAGUGCGGCAGAGGGGGAUGGAAUUCCGCGUGUAGCAGUGAAAUGCGUAGAUAUCAGGAGGAACACCGAUGGCGAAGGCAGGUCUCUGGGCUGACACUGACGCUCAUGCACGAAAGCGUGGGGAGCAAACAGG